rnacentral:rRNA from 1 species
UACGUAGGGGGCUAGCGUUGUCCGGAUUUAUUGGGCGUAAAGAGCGUGUAGGCGGCCAGGUAGGUCUGCUGUGAAAACUCGAGGCUCAACCUCGAGACGUCGGCGGAAACCAUCUGGCUAGAGUCCGGAAGAGGAGAGUGGAAUUCCUGGGUGUAGCGGUGAAAUGCGCAGAUAUCAGGAAGAACACCCGUGGCGAAGGCGGCUCUCUGGGGACGGUACUGACGCUGAGACGCGAAAAGCGUGGGGAGCGAACAGG